rnacentral:tRNA from 1 species
GAACUCAUGGUGUGGUGGUUAUCAUAUAUUUCUCACACACAGAAUGUCGGCGGUUCGAGUCCGCCCGAGAUCA